UCAGCGGAUAUUCAAGGAUUAUUUGUUUCCCCCAUUCAUAGCCACUCAGAUAUGGAAUCCCUUUAUCUUCAAAUCCGCACCAGUUUCCAUAAUCUUCACAUAGGCAAUUUCUCAAACAGUAGGCGCAAAAUCAGUCUUUGUCUUUGAAUUUCGAUGACACAAAUUAGGGAUGUGCGUCAUCCAUGGCUGCAAACCCUUCUUCUCAACAACUACAGAUUCAUCCAUGGCUGCAAAAGAAGGCAGAUUCAGUAUAUCUCUCUUUCAAUCUCGAGGGCCCUAAUUUGGGAGGUGCUUCAUCCAUGGUUGCAAACGUUUCUUCCCCAUCGCUGUAGAUCCAUGAAUCAGGACAAUUACUACCACAGACACCUCCCGUACCCAAUUAAUUUACAGACGCGGACACCGGCGCCGACGAUUGAAGGAUCUGCUCUUUCUCUGUUUCGUAUUAUCUAGAAUGGCCGACAUCCACGCAACAAUGAAAGAACUGCACAAGGCCUCCAAACAUAGAUUCUUUAACCGCAAAUGGAACGGCCGAAUGGGAAUAUUAGAGAAUCUUGAUCGUAUCUGUUUUUAUGGCUUAGGACCAUGGAAUACGGACGACAGGUUAGUGAUAUUGAGGCUGCACUUAAAGUUGUUGAUUCCGUUCCGCAAGAUCUUUACUACACUGUCACCGAGAUAUAUAAUCAAAUGAUCGUUAAAAGACCGGGGGCGCAUUGACAAAAUUAAUUUUGAGCAUUUCAAGAUCGCCUUGGAGGACAAAUUUAGAGCUCUAUAUCUGGGUGUCCAAGUUAUCGACGAAAACUACGAACCAAUUGAGAUAAGUGAUUCGGAGGAGGAUCCAUCCGAAGAUGAGGCGGAAUUGAUGGACGAGUGUGAAGAUUAGUUAGUUUUUAUGAAAUAUUACAAUUCCUGUUCGUGUGUUUUAUUUAAAUAAGUGCAGUAUGGUUUCAUGCAUAGUUAAUUUAAUAAAACUUAAGAAUUUGCAGUUCAAAUUCGAGUUUCUGAAGUUCUUCUGAAAAUCCAAUGGUUGUUAAUAUCGAAAUGAAUUAAACAGCAAGUAUGUAAUAAAACAAAUCUGUGAGACUAUGAUUUAUAGUCGAACAUUGAGCUGAUCGUAGUGAAACA